CACGGGAAAUGGCUAUGAAUUUGUUGAAUCAAUUUAAGGAGGAAGAUGCUGCACAAAAAGGGGGGGUCAAUGAUGCAGAUAGUGUAAGAGAUGGUGUGCAAGUGGAUGCUUUUGGAGCUGGGCUCGCAACCAAUGAUCUCGGACAUAGCAUGCCAAGGGACCCAAGAAAAUGUAGGACAAAAGGGGGGGCUUCAGAGUCCAAUAAAAGAAAACAUCGAUGUGGACAGUGUGGCAUGGAGGGCCACAAUCGAACAACUUGUCGUGUUCGUCGUGGCAUCUCACAGUCAGAAGGCCUUGGAAAUGACACAUUUGAUAAUGACUCGGAUGACCACAUGAACAUUGAAGAUGACUCAUUUGUAUAUGAUGAGAGUGCUUCCUACAGUAGCAAUGAAGUGCUGUAAUAAGAUGACUUAAAAGUAACAGGCGUUGGGUGGUUUGCUGCUGGAUUUUGUGUUUUCUAGUAAAUGAAUGAGCUAUUAUUUGAUGGAUUAAAUCAGACAGCUAGGGAUGUUGCCUAUGUACAAUGGCCAAGUGCUGCAAUGAUGUAUGCACAUUCAUAUGACCAAUUUAGGCAUGUUGUUUUCCAGGCUCCGUUUGGUCAACAGCCGUUGAGCUUUGACUAUUCACAAAACUACUAGAUGACAUUUUAGGGGGGGAAGUUAUGGAAUUGGAUGCAGAAGUUGUUACCUUAGUAUGUUUAGUUGUUUCAUGUUAGGUUUGUUCUUGAGUAUUCUAUCAUAGACAUUUGUUGCUGUUGUAGUAUGUCUUUGACUUUCAGUUUUGAUGGGUUAUACUAGCAUAUAUGAUAUCAUAUCUAGUACUUCUAGUUUGACAGUCUAUAUAAAAUAGUGGAUUUAUUUCUAGACUU